rnacentral:pre_miRNA from 1 species
GUCUCCUCCCAUGAAUCACAAAUGUCCUUAAUGGCAUUUAAGGAUUGCUAUUAAGGACAUUUGUGAUUCUUGGGAGGAGGU